ACUGGAAACAAGAUGCAGGACCCCAACGCAGACACUGAGUGGAAUGACAUCUUACGCAAAAAGGGUAUCUUACCCCCCAAGGAAAGUCUGAAAGAACUGGAAGAGGAGUCAGAUGAGGAGCAGCACAUCCUCCAGCAGUCAGUGGUGAAAACAUAUGAAGAUAUGACUUUGGAAGAGCUGGAGGAUCAUGAAGAUGAGUUUAAUGAGGAGGAUGAACGUGCUAUUGAAAUGUACAGACGGCAGAGACUGGCUGAGUGGAAAGCAACUAAACUGAAGAAUAAAUUUGGAGAAGUUUUAGAGAUCUCAGGGAAGGAUUAUGUUCAAGAAGUUACCAAAGCUGGCGAGGGUUUGUGGGUCGUCUUGCACCUUUACAAACAAGGAAUUCCCCUGUGUGCCCUGAUAAAUCAGCACCUCAGUGGACUUGCCAGGAGGUUUCCUGAUGUCAAAUUUAUCAAAGCCAUUUCAACAACCUGCAUACCCAAUUAUCCGGAUAGGAAUCUGCCCACGAUAUUUGUUUAUCAAGGCUCAGUUUAUUGGUCCUCUGGUGUUUGGCGGCAUGAACCUGACAAGAGAUGAAUUGGAAUGGAAACUGUCUGAAUCUGGAGCAAUUAUGACGGACCUGGAGGAAAACCCCAAGAAGCCGAUUGAAGACGUGUUGCUGUCCUCAGUGCGGCGCUCUGAAAGGUUCCAGUUUACUGCCAUAUUUGGUUAA